rnacentral:rRNA from 1 species
AUGAACGCUGGCGGCGUGCCUAAUACAUGCAAGUCGAGCGAACAGACGAGGAGCUUGCUCCUCUGACGUUAGCGGCGGACGGGUGAGUAACACGUGGAUAACCUACCUAUAAGACUGGGAUAACUUCGGGAAACCGGAGCUAAUACCGGAUAAUAUAUUGAACCGCAUGGUUCCAUAGUGAAAGACGGUUUUGCUGUCACUUAUAGAUGGAUCCGCGCCGCAUUAGCUAGUUGGUAAGGUAACGGCUUACCAAGGCAACGAUGCGUAGCCGACCUGAGAGGGUGAUCGGCCACACUGGAACUGAGACACGGUCCAGACUCCUACGGGAGCAAGCAGUAGGGAAUCUUCCGCAAUGGGCGAAAGCCUGACGGAGCAACGCCGCGUGAGUGAUGAAGGUCUUCGGAUCGUAAAACUCUGUUAUUAGGGAAGAACAAAUGUGUAAGUAACUAUGCACGUCUUGACGGUACCUAAUCAGAAAGCCACGGCUAACUACGUG